rnacentral:sRNA from 1 species
AUUGUUGAAUGGUUCAUAUGAGAAGAUGCAGUAGCACUGUGUCCCAACAUCUUGGUUCACCUCCAGUUGUGAUUGCCUUUCUUUAGCAAAAGCGAAAGCUUCGGAUCUACAUUUCCAAUACGUUCAGUCCCAGCAAGGCGGAAGGCGAUAGUGCAGGAACUGCAGGGACCCCUGGGGGAACCCCAGCAGGGGACAAGGUGGCUUCCUGGGAACUCCGAGUGGAAGGAAAACUGCUGGAUGAUCCUAGCAAACAGAAGAGGAAGUUUUCUUCAUUCUUUAAGAGCCUCGUCAUUGAGCUGGACAAGGAGCUGUACGGGCCUGACAAUCACCUGGUGGAGUGGCACCGGAUGCCCACCACCCAGGAGACAGAUGGCUUCCAGGUAAAACGGCCUGGAGACCUCAAUGUCAAGUGCACCCUCCUGCUCAUGCUGGAUCAUCAGCCUCCCCAGUAUAAAUUGGACCCCCGAUUGGCAAGGCUGCUGGGAGUGCACACGCAGACGAGGGCCGCCAUCAUGCAGGCCCUGUGGCUUUACAUCAAGCACAACCAGCUGCAGGAUGGGCACGAGCGGGAGUACAUCAACUGCAACCGUU